AGGUUUUGCACACUAGGGACCAAGAAGCCUUCAGGGACACCGCCAACAAAGGACUGCUCGUGGGAAGACCAGCGGGGAUCAUGGAAUCUAUUCCAGAGGAAACUAACCAACAGUGAGCAUCUUCAACUAAAACUACCCCUGGAUAUCAUGGUUGCAUGCAUCAUUCCUUUAAUUGAGCAGAGUUAACUGGAUCAAAUUAUUUAUGGGAGAGAGAGGGAAAGCUAUACAGAAUUACAGUAAUUUUUAAUUUCCAACAGUGUAUUCUUUGUAAGUGAACCACUCUAUAAUUAUUUUCUGUUGCACUGAAUGCAGCAGUAAUAUCAAAAUAGUAUUUUAAGGUACUUGGUUUUUGCAUACUCUGAUCUUGUAAUUAUUUAAAUAGCAGACAAGUUUACUGAUAUUUUUUAUUUUUUCAAGGAAAAAAAAGUUCCUCUACUCUGAAGUGAUGACCAGAAACAGAAUCAGACAUUUAUUUUUCUGAAAUUAAAUACACAGAAAAUUGCACUUAUCAACUCUGUUAAAACUUUACCAUAUCUAAUCAUUGCAUAAUAGUUCAGAUUUGUAUAAAACUGUUUUUUUCAUGGUCUCUAAAAACUAUUUUGCUCUCCAUAAAGUUUCGAUUUGCUACUUUCUAAAAAUUUUACAAUUAAAGAUAAAUAACAAACUAUUUGUUUUUUCUUAGAAAAAAAUUGCUAGAUGUAUAGUCCUUGGACAAUAAUGUGGUUUUUGUUGUUGCGUUUUUAAGAAAUCCCACUUAUUGGAAUUUUGACUAUUUGGAUAUUUCAUUUUUAAAAGGGGAGAGAAAUUUGCUACCUACCUCUAUGGAUGUGAAUUGGUCAUUCAUAUUAAAAUAGCCAGCAGAAUUAUUCUCAACUAAACAGAAUUAAAUUUUAUAUCUGUAUAUUUAACACCAUUAAUUCUUUCUCAUACAAACUAUAAGAAAAUUUUCCAAAGGAUCUGGUUUUAAUUUUUGGAUAUGAAAUGAAUUUUCCUUUCCUGUACUUAAGCUACUAUUUUGUAAUUGUAUUGCACUAACAAUGCCCAAACACAUUCUGAGCAACACCGUGGGUAACAACCUUCCAGUUUACACCCUUUUGAUUCACGGCAUAGCCCAGUUGUUAAUUAAGAGGUGGAGAAACUCACACCUGCCUUUUAUUUGAUUUUCACACCCAUACUUACAAAAUAUGCAUUUAAAAGGAAAAUGAGAAAUUUAAAUAAGUUUCUGUUGCUUAAUAUAAUAUUGGUAAAAAUAUAUUCCGUUAUAAAAUCCCAUUAUCAAAGCAUCAGAUACCAAAGUCAGCUGGUUGGGUUGCCAAAUACAUUAAGCUCAUUAAUUCUUUUGAAAAUGGCUGCCGUUUCCAUGUUAAUGACAAUUUUCUUUUUCAUGGGCAAGGUUAUGGUACUUAUCUACUACAAGAAACAUGUAUAAACACAGUCUUUAUCUUUAACUUCAGUACUAAAAUAUGCAGUUUUUGUGAAGAGGAAAAACAUCUGGUUCAAUUACUCUGAACUCUGACUGCAUGUGGGCCAGUAAUAAUAUGAAUUGGAUUUAAGAAUAAACCUGUGUUUAAUCUUCUUUUUCCCUUAAAAUUUUAAUGUGAGUUUUCUGUUAUGCCAAUUAUCCAUGUUAGCACAUUUGGAACAAAUGUAUAAGUGUACUUUCUGAAUAAAGUUAAAAGUCUAACUUGUAUUUAGUUCCAUAAUGUUUUAAUGUUUAAUUCUAUUGUGUGUUUUUCUCCCUUUCCCCUUACCCUCCAAAAUCACCAAAUCUGGAAAACAGACUGAUUCUAUCUGUCCAUGAGCAAAGGAAACCUGAAGGAACCAAGGGCCUGGCUGGACAGAGUUGUCAUGUGUCUGCCUGUCUACACUUGCUGUGCAGAACAUCCGCUCACCUGUACAGCAGGCACAGACAGGCAGUCACAUGACAACCCAGCCUGAAUGACAACCAGCCACUGAAAGAAAGCAGCCCUCACACCAUAGCAUCUACACCAAGAGCUACAACCAAAAUGAGGGGCUUGUGGGCCUGGGGUUUUAAUCUGUUGGUUUAAUAUCUAACUCGUAUGUAUUAUUUUAUUUUGAUUCAAAUAUUUUAAACCCACCAAAAGUAAAGUGAGUGGUGCCUAUGAAAUAUAAUAAAACCCAUUUCUGAAAAUGUU